rnacentral:rRNA from 1 species
ACGGGGGGAGCAAGCGUUGUUCGGAUUUACUGGGCGUAAAGGGUGCGUAGGCGGCUUUCUAAGUCGGAUGUGAAAACUCUGGGCCCAACCCAGAGCCUGCAUCUGAAACUGGAGAGCUAGGGUUCUGGAGGGGAAAGCGGAAUUCCUGGUGUAGCGGUGAAAUGCGUAGAUAUCAGGAGGAACACCGGUGGCGAAGGAGGCUUUCUGGACAGAUACCGACGCUGAGGCACGAAAGCUAGGGGAGCAAACAGGA